GGGGAGGCUUAAUGGCAGUCGAGCGGAAGCAAUACACGGAAUUUUUCGGAAGGAAGUGUGUUUGCUUUAGCGGCGGACGGGUGAGUAACGCGUGGAUAACCUGCCUCAUACAGGGGGAUAACAGUUAGAAAUGACUGCUAAUACCGCAUAAGCACACGGGAGCGCAUGCUCCUGAGUGAAAAGCUCCGGCGGUAUGAGAUGGAUCCGCGUCUGAUUAGCUGGUUGGCGGGGUAACGGCCCACCAAGGCGACGAUCAGUAGCCGACCUGAGAGGGUGGCCGGCCACAUUGGGACUGAGACACGGCCCAAACUCCUACGGGAGGCAGCAGUGGGGAAUAUUGCACAAUGGGGGAAACCCUGAUGCAGCAACGCCGCGUGGGUGAAGAAGUAUCUCGGUAUGUAAAGCCCUAUCAGCAGGGAAGAGAAUGACGGUACCUGACUAAGAAGCCCCGGCUAACUACGUGCCAGCAGCCGCGGUAAUACGUAGGGGGCAAGCGUUAUCCGGAUUUACUGGGUGUAAAGGGAGCGUAGACGGUUGUGCAAGUCUGAAGUGAAAGCCCGCGGCUCAACUGCGGAACGGCUUUGGAAACUGUGUAACUGGAGUGCUGGAGAGGUAAGCGGAAUUCCUGGUGUAGCGGUGAAAUGCGUAGAGAUCAGGAGGAACACCGGCGGCGAAGGCGGCUUACUGGACAGUAACUGACGUUGAGGCUCGAAAGCGUGGGGAGCAAACAGGAUUAGAUACCCUGGUAGUCCACGCGGUAAACGAUGAAUGCUANGUGUUGGUGGNCAGAGCCCAUCGGU
rnacentral:rRNA from 1 species